rnacentral:rRNA from 1 species
UGGGGAAUAUUGCACAAUGGGCGGAAGCCUGAUGCAGCAACGCCGCGUGAGUGAUGAAGGCCUUCGGGUUGUAAAGCUCUGUCUUUUGGGACGAUAAUGACGGUACCAAAGGAGGAAGCCACGGCUAACUACGUGCCAGCAGCCGCGGUAAUACGUAGGUGGCAAGCGUUGUCCGGAUUUACUGGGCGUAAAGGAUGCGUAGGCGGAUUUUUAAGUGAGAUGUGAAAACCCUAAGCUUAACUUGGGGACUGCAUUUCAUACUGGAAAUCUAGAGUGCGGGAGAGGAGAAUGGAAUUCCUAGUGUAGCGGUGAAAUGCGUAGAGAUUAGGAAGAACACCAGUGGCGAAGGCGAUUCUCUGGACCGUAACUGACGCUGAGGCAUGAAAGCGUGGGUAGCAAACAGGAUUAGAUACCCUGGUAGUCCACGCCGUAAACGAUGAGUACUAGGUGUAGGAGGUAUCGACCCCUUCUGUGCCGCAGUUAACACAAUAAGUACUCCGCCUGGGAAGUACGAUCGCAAGAUUAAAACUUAAAUGAAUUGACGGGGUCAUAGCUGUUUCCU